AUUCCUUUUUUUUUUUUGCCUUCUGCAGGUUUGUGCUGUCCCCAGAGAUUAUCAAGGAUAUGACAAGGUUCUUGGCCUCUGCAUUUGUCAAACUGACAGUCUGGAGGGUGUGUGUAACUCUCAGUGCAGAAGACAACAAAGAGAUACUCUGCAGGUCACUUGUACAGAGAAAAAUGCUCAGCUUGUUAUCACUUACAGAAAUGGGAGCAAGACUGCUGUUUACUUAGAAGAAUUAAGAAGAGUUCUACUAAGACCCUAUUUCUCUUUUAAAGACAUCUGCACUUCAGAACAAAGCAAAUAUACCCAUCCAACAUUCAUCGUGAAAAUGAAUGGAAAAGGAUUUUUAGGGGUGUAUAAUCCUGACCCACAACUAUUUCACAACUUCAUCAUGCUAAAUGAGGCUUCAUCACAUGA